rnacentral:lncRNA from 1 species
AAAGUUUGAUCUUUGCCAAAUGAUGAUACAAUGUUCAAGCCAUGCGCAGCCCUAGCAAAUCUUGUCCAAAAUGGAUGAAAUUGGACUUUUUGGAAAGGCUAGAUCAAGAGGAACAACUUUCAUGUUCAAUACUUUUCCAUUUUGAGCUUGGAACAUGAUGAAUUUUGAGGUGGAAGUUUGGAAAUUUCAACAUAUUGAAAAAAUUUCUAAGUGUCAAGCCAUAUA